AUGGCGCCCCAGGCCCCGGUCGUCGAGAUCAUCGACGACGACGACGACGACGGUGUCGGCGUGGCCGCCUCCCCUCCCGCGCUCCUCUCAGGCAGGCGCUCCCGCGCCACUCCCCCGCCCGCGGCAGCCGACGACUCUCCGGACUUCCUCGGGGCCUUCUCCCCCUCCCCGCCGGCCCCGAAGCGGCGCGCCACUCCCUCGACCGCGGCGGCCCUCGACUCUCCGGACUGGCUCGGGGCCUUCUCCCCCUCCCCGCCCGCCCCGAAGAGGCGCGCCACUCCCUCGCCCGCGGCGGCCCUCGACUCUCUCGACUUCCUCGAUGCCUUCACCCGGUCCCCGCCCGUCCCGAAGCGGCGCGCGCCCGCGUCCGCGACCCCGAUCGUCCUCGACGACGACACCCCUCCCCCGCCAAGGCGGCGCCCAUCCCCGACGCCCAUCCUCCUCCUCGACGACACGCCUCCCUCGCCGUUCGCUCCGGAGAUCCCGGACAUUGCUGUUGCGGCGACACCGCCAGCGUACGCCACCCCGCGCUCGACUGGGUCCUCCAGCGUCCCAGGCUCCUCUUCGACUGGCCGCGCGCAUGAAUCGUCUGGAGCUUCUUGUCCAAUAUCUCUGGACAGUGAUGAUGAGUUGGAUGACUUUGGGUCGACCACAGAGCCAUUGGUCAAGUUGAUUUUACCCUGUGGAAAUUCUUCUCCGCAAGAACAGGAUGACGACAACAUGGAAGAGAAUGCUCCACCGAUCAAAGAAAGAAAGGGACAGAAGAGAUUAAAUAAAGAAGAGAAAGAUAAAAUGAUUGAAGAGAAGAAACGACAGCGAGAGGUUUGGCUUGAAAAAAGGUUGCAGAAAGAAGCUAAUAAAAUUCAACAAGCAGAGAAAAAGAAGUCGGCCAAAGAAAAAGCAGAAUGGGCUUCAGGCAAACGUGCUUUAGAAUCCAUUGUCGCCAAGAUCGACUCAAAGGUCAUAGAAACUGGCUCAAUCGGAGGUGCUCUCCUGACAAUGUUUUCAGAAAAGAAACUUUCCUAUCAAGUUGAGCGUAAUCCAAUGAGGGGAUCAAUUUUGUGGAAGAUGGUUUCUCCAAAUGAUCAGGAGCCAGCUUUGGAGCCAUAUAUCCUAUUUGUGCUCCAAGCUGAGGAAUUCUGUGAUCUUAUAAGCAGUGGAAAGUUCUUGGAUCAUGUUCUCAAAGCUCGAAGUCUCUAUCCAACUUUCACUAUUUGCUAUGUCACUCAUAAAUUGAUGAAAUACAUAUAUGAUAGAGAGCAAAGCCAGUAUAAGAAUUCCGACAGUUCUAAUAGAUGGAAACGUCCACCUGUGGAAGGUUUUGUGCAAAUUAGUAACACACUACGAUAG
rnacentral:rRNA from 1 species